CCUACGGGCGGCAGCAGUGGGGAAUAUUGCACAAUGGGGGAAACCCUGAUGCAGCGACGCCGCGUGAGUGAAGAAGUAAUUCGUUACGUAAAGCUCUAUCAGCAGGGAAGAAACACUGACCUUACGGUCAGCAGACGGUACCUGAGUAAGAAGCACCGGCUAACUACGUGCCAGCAGCCGCGGUAAUACGUAGGGGGGAAGCGUUAUCCGGAUUUACUGGGUGUAAAGGGAGCGUAGACGGUGCGCCAAGUCUGGAGUGAAAUGCCGCAGCUUAACUGCGGAACUGCUUUGGAAACUGGCGAACUAGAGUGCGGGAGGGGUAAGCGGAAUUCCUAGUGUAGCGGUGAAAUGCGUAGAUAUUAGGAGGAACACCGGUGGCGAAGGCGGCUUACUGGACCGUAACUGACGUUGAGGCUCGAAAGCGUGGGGAGCAAACAGGAUUAGAUACCCGGGUAGUC
rnacentral:rRNA from 1 species